rnacentral:lncRNA from 1 species
CCAUAUCUUACCCCCAAAUUCUGUGUUAGUAACUACUUUUGGAAGACCCAACUUCCUACCAAACUUAGGAGCCUGAUUGGAAGACACUAUCAGCUCCAAUAUAGCAACAAAUGAAACCUUAAAAUUUUUUUAUUAAGUGUUUAAGAUGUCGAGUGGUGGCAAAAUUUCCCACUCCCUUGCAUUCCAUACAAGGAAUGCGUUCAUAUCAAAGAUGCUUGUGGGGAUCCCCAACUAAAAGGUCAGAGAUCAGUACCAUUUUUUUGUUACGUCUGAUAUUGGCUGCAAUGUCUAGUAUAUCCGUAUCAGAAUGACAACCUCCAUCCCUGCCAACAUCGAAAGAGUAAUCCAGAGGGUCUUUUCCAACUUCCAAGUGCAAUUGAUCAAUUAACACAUCGAAUGAAUUUCGAAUAGGAAUGUCUUCCACUAAACGAUUGGGGAGCAUAGAUUGGGGAGAAGAAAGGGAUCUACUACAAUCUGGUGAAAUUUUCUCAAUCCCAGUAGUGCUUCUAGAGCUCAAAAGUCCAGUUUCUUUUAACCUCUUAUUUGUCUCGACCUCAUCCUUGGCAUCAUUGUCUGUUGUAACCUCAUUUUCCUCAUUAGGCAAAAUGUUGGGAGCUUUCUGUGAAGACUCUUUAGGUUUGUGUGUCCCUUCUAGUUUCUCAUUGUGCAAGACAUCUUCCUUACAUGGUAACGGCUUAACAACCUCUGUAGCAUCGUCCCCUUUACUCGGGGGGAUGAAUUUCCACUAAGUUGUCCUGCUCAUUUUUCGAUAACUGUUCAACCUUGUUUUCACCUUUCUUAUCAAUUUGUAAUGGCAUAUGUUUCUGUGUUGGCUUUCUAACUGCACUGUUAAGUCCUUGCCUUCUAUUGCUGCUUGAAAUAUCAUGUCCAUGAAGAUGACUGUGAUUGCAAUACUUGGGGGUUCUUUCGUAAUGUAUUUCUUGCCAAAGACCCGAUGAAUUAUCCUUUCCAGUACCAAUCCAAAUCAGGUCUUCACGUGGCUGUGACAAGUCAAUUUCAAUGCAAACUCUUGCAAAACUAGGCCUUGUGAAUGUAAUUGUUGGCAGGUCAGAACUGAGAUAACUACCUAGAGGCUUGACCAAUGCCUAUAAAUACAAAGGAAUGCAGAAAUUUUGGGGAAGUAAAGGGAGACGAACCCAAACUGGAGCAACAGGGGAUUCAUCAGUCAGUUUAAAAUCACGAGACCAUUUAAACAAUCGAAAUAAGGAGCCAUCAAUCUCAAGGGAUUCCAGAGUCCAAGCCUUGUUAAAAUCCUUGACGUUUUGGAGUUUAAUCAAUACAUGAUGCCGAUCCAGUAAACUGACAAUAGGGACGGCAGACAAUCCCCAUUUCGUACUAAUAAAGUGAUGAAGGACAUCCAUUCUAGGCCUUGUCUUAGAGAAUUUGGCAAUGAGGGCAAACUGUAGGGGUGCCUCAGAUCACUGCAAUUCCAGGGGAGUGAAGAUUAUUGUCGGUUUACCAUCCUUAAAUUCUGGUUGACGCACUGAAACAGAGACAUCAACCACUGUUAUGUUGGAGAGGUCAGGGCGAUUUGUAGGAGAAUCGAAAAUCACAGCGGCAUACAAUCGUCCAGAUCCCGUAGACUGGGGACCAGCCUUAGAGGAAUCAGGCCGUUCAGAACACGGCAAAGCAUCAUGGAGAUCGGCCAUGGCGGCAGAUCCCACGAGGGGUGACGACGAGGGAUUUAGGGGUUCGAAGAUCAGGGCUAAACUUAGGCAUAGUCUAC